GGGCUGCAGUCGAGAAUCUUUAGCAAUGGGGGAAACCCUGACUAUGCGACGCCGCGUGAGGGAUGAAGGUCUUAGGAUUGUAAACCUCUUUCGACCGGAAAGAAUGAUCACAGUUCGAAUAGGGCUGUGGUUUGACGGUACCGGGAGAAGAAGCCACGGCCAACUCCGUGCCAGCAGCCGCGGUAAUACGGAGGUGGCGAGCGUUACUCGGAUUUAUUGGGUGUAAAGGGCAGGUAGGCGGCCUGACAAGUGGGGAGUGAAAUCCUGCGGCUUAAUCGCAGAACUGCUUUCCAAACUAUCGGGCUUGAGUGUGGGAGAGGAGAAUGGAACUCCUGGUGUAAGGGUGAAAUCUGUAGAGAUCAGGAGGAACACCAUUGGCGAAGGCGAUUCUCUGGACCACAACUGACGCUGAGCUGCGAAAGCUAGGGGAGAGAACAGGAUUAGAUACCCGUGUAGUC
rnacentral:rRNA from 1 species